UUUCAAGCAAAGAUUGCAGUGCAAGAACUGGCAUAUACAGGGUGAGGGGAAUUAGUGAAUAAGCAAACCAGUCAAAGGGCGCCUCUUACUUGGCAGGUAAGUACAGUAUUUUGUGCUGUAAUUAAGUACAUUCAAGGGCUGGUUUCCUAACAUUUGGUUUUCACUGACUUGCCAAAGGAGAGUUGCCCUGUGACUGAUUCAGCUUAAUAUCGUAAGAUGAUUGCCCCCACACAGGUCAUUUCAACAGGUAUGUUUUUUCAAUAGAUUUGAUGUAGUAGCAUGAUGAAAAUUCUGGCAUGGUGAUUGGAAAUUUAGCUGUAGCCUGUCCUAGAUGCAAUGAUACAUAUAAACCAUGCAGCUAGCUCUUUAGAUCUUAAUCUUGGCCUGUUUUGCCUUGAAUUAUUGUAGAGAUUGGAGCAUAGUUUAUUUCUUUGAGCAUUGUGAAAUGAGGGCUUCUUCCUUUUUGUAAAAUGGCAAGAACUAUAGCUAGAUAUGGAAAAAAGAUUGUCAAAAAAUUUUGUAACCUUAACAAGGCUAAGAAUUUAACAGUAAGUCGUUUGAGAAAAUGGUGGUUUCUUGGGCAGAUAUAGAACAGUUUGGUUUGUUUUAUGUAUCCUCAAUUUUUUUUUAAUUCAUUUUCAGUUUGGUUAAAUCACUCUUAGGAUUUGAACUAAGCAAUUAUUUUCGGAACUUGAACUAGGUAACUAUUUUUAUAUUGAGGCUUCAACCUUUUAUUCAAGUUAAUUCUUGAACUUGACAAUUACUCUCGUAUUGAUGCCUAAAUUUGACAAUUUUUUCCACAUUAAACUUAAACUUUAGGUGUUUUAGGAAAUAUCAAAGGCUAACUUAGAUAAUAAUAAAAAAAUUUAAUUCUAUCAUAAAAACAAUUACCAAAUUUAAGACUUAACUUGAAAAAAAAAUUAAACCCAAAUAUAAAAAAAUUACUAAAUUCAAUUCCAGUUCAUACCAAAAAAUUAUUUAACCCUUUACAAUUAACUCACAAGAAUAAUUCACUGACAAUUAAGAAUGUGCCUAUGAUCUUAACCUGCUAAAUAGGUUUUAAGGAGAAUAUCUAAUGCAAAUGAACCAAAAGCUGGAUUCAUAUCUUCUCAAACUUAGAUAUUGGUUUCCGAAAUGCCCUUCCUUGCCUUUGGAUUUUCUUUAUUGAACAAAGAUUUGGUAUAAAGCUGCUUUAUUUAUAUUUUUUUGACUUUUCACUUUUAAUCAUUUACAUUUAUCUAAAGAAAUGAUGGAAAAUGCCGGUUAUUGGGUCGACAUAAACCCAACUACGUUAGGACCCUCCAGUUUCUCUCAACACUCGGACAAAAUUCCAACCAUUAAAAAUUUCGAAAUAGUUCUCGAUACGAAUAUUGUUGUUAAUUAAAGAAGACGUAAGUUUGCAUAUAUUGAAAUGUAUUAUCUUCUUAUUUACGAAUUGAAAAUUGAUUAUAGGUGGUUCUAGAUAUUAUCAUAAAAAAAAUGAUUCGAAUCUAUAAUAAUUUUUUUAAAAAAAAUACAAAUUAGUUUGUUUUGAAUAGGUUUAAUGUAUUAUUUAAUAUUUGAGUAUAAUAUUUUUCUCUAGUGAUAUUUAUGUUAUUUUUUUAUUUAAUUGUGGUACUUGUAUUUAACAAAAUUGAUAUAUUUUGACAACUAAAGGUAAUGAUGUUAAUUUUUUUGGUGUUUAAUUUAGAUUUUAGGGUUGAUUUGAGUUAAUAUUGUUAUUUUCAUACACCAAAAUAUUUAGCUUUUGUCAAAUACAGAUAUCAUGUUUAAAAAAAUGUCAAAUUCAAAUACAAAACUGUGUAUUAAAUCUUUUGAAUAAAAUUGACAAUUUUUUAAUAAAUAAAUGGACAUAUUUUUUUGAAAAGCAGACAUAGGAUAAGGAGAGCAAAUUUUUUAAUAGAUAUAGAAUGGUUAUGAGAAUUAUUUGUCUUGUUUCGUCUCACCUAAUCAUAUGAAAUUAAAAUUUAGUGACAAAAAUAUUAUAUUACGAGGCAUGAGAGUUUGGAUUUAAUUUCAAACAAUAUUUCAUAAAAAAUAUAUAUUUUAAAUAAAAACAAGGUUAGAUAAAAUGAGACAGAAAUAGAUACAUCUCACAUUCAUAAAUAUCAUAAUAAUUUUUCAAGAUUAUAUAUUCAUAAUAAACUUAAUCAUGAGUCAGGCCAUUCGCCCAGACCUAAAUGCCAACCUAAAAAGUAGAAGGGUUUGAGCAAAAAAUAUAAGCUCGAAAAAUGAGUAUAGAUAAAAUAAAAAUAAAUAAAAAAACUUUUUUUUGAUUUGAGCCUAAACCGAAUUUACCUAUUUUUUUCACUAUUGUUUUGUUAUUGUUUUAUGUCAUUUUGAUGUUGUUUUGCAGUCAUUUUGUUGUAAUUACUUAAAUAUUGUAUAACUCUUACUUUAUUAUUAAUUUUACUACUAUUUUAUAAACAUUUACUUGCUAAGUUGCAACUAUCUUAGUGUUAUUUUCAAUUUGUUAGAAAAUAUUUAUUUUAAUAUUUUUAAUAUAUUUAAUGUAUUAUAUUUUUUAAAUUUAUUUUAUAUAAAAAAUAAUAUAAUUUUUUUAAUAUAUAUGAACCGAGUCAAACUCCAACCGCGGAAUAAACCCGAACCAGAAAUCAGAUAUUUACCCAAUCUGACUAUGAUCAGUUGUAAUUCACAAUAAAACAAAAGAAAGCACAACAUAUGUAACUAUAAAGCAAUAAUAAAUUUCAGCAAAUCCGCUAACUUUGCUCGAUGGUGAUCACUCCAUUGGACAUGUACCUGUUUUCUGCUUUUUGGUAAAAUAUACUUACAAUGACCACACAGACACGAAAUCUACCGAUCAGAAGUGAGGAUACGUGGCAACUCUCAAAAUAUUAAACCUAUUUAUAAAACAAUAAAAAAAUACUAUAAUAAGGGCUUUUCAAAGUUACUUUUCCAUCAGUUUUUAUCAGGUUUAUUUAUCUUCUCAUUAGGUGUCAACUACAGUGAAAAGUAUUACAAUGCAAUGAGUACAUUUACGUCAACAAUUUUACCAACAAUAAAGAAGCAAAUGGUGGUUUUCCGUAAAGCGAAGUAUCAUAAAGUUGGCAGAAUUUCCAAUAUGGCUCCAAAAUAUUUUUCAUGUCGAUUAUUGCGUAAAAUUACAGUAAAUUUUAUUUCUUCUGGUAUAUAAUACACCGAUCAUUAUGUACCUUAAAGUACAAGAAACUUAUUAAUCACAACAUGAAUUCACACAACGAAACAAAGAAAAAAGAAAGCAGUCUUUUAUUGCCGCUCAAUCUCUGUUAUUCUCUCUCAUUCUCUCUCUUUUUCUCAAGCCCUCAAUUUACCACUCUGCAAUUCAAUCUCACUUCUCCAUUUUCCAUCACCCCUACAUUCCCAAGCUUCACCAUCGAUGUGGCAAAUUCUUUGAAGAACAAACUUUGAUCAUUAGCGAAUGAUUCAACAAUCCAUUUAGUCCUAUAAUCACUAUACAGUGCUUGAUCGGAUCCGAACACACCUUUCCCUGCCAACAGUUGUUUGUAAUAAUUAUUAUCGAAAGUUGAUGCCGUGGAGUCCAAGAACUGUCCUGCAUUGCCAUUUUUAUUUGGUUUCGGGCAUUUCUUCUUCAGUGUUUCUGCGAAUUCAGGGUUCAUUGUAGGGUCGAUGUCCUGAACCGAGCUGAAAUUAUGGAGCCGAGCUUGGAAUGAAGAACAGUGUGAGAAUCCUAGGGUGUGACCUCCGGAUAGGGCUACUAAGUCCUUGACCCUUAAACGUCGCUUAGUGAAGCUUUGAAUGAGUGUUGAAACGUUGAAAGUUGGGGCUGGUAAGUUGAUGGUUUCGGAAGCCUUGGAGAUUCUGCCAUCUUUUCUGCCUUUAAGUACGUUCCAAAAAGGCCCUCCUGACUGUAAGAAACGCAAAGAAAUGUUCAGUUUUGUGCGUUUGUGUUGAGGGGAGGGGAGAGGAGAGGAGGCUAACUCUUUCUCAAGAAGUGUCAUACAUCUAAAACUAAUUGAUACUUUAACGGGUUAAUAUUAUCUCCGAUGGGAUUUUAAUAUCUCAACUCUGUAAAGAGUUGGAAUGCCUUAAAAGGCUACCUGAAGGGACAGCGUAUUCAAAAGACAAGAGUGACUAGUUGAAUUAAACACCUACCAAAAUGGUGAUCAUUAAUUGUAUGGUUGGAACCCCUAACUCAUAGGAUAUAGAUCCCCUCAAGUUACUUAUAUCUUAUAAGUUAGGGGAUUCAAAUCCUAUCAAUGAUAAAUUAUUACAUUUUUUUAAGGCGAUAAUACACUACAUAUGGUUCAAUCUAACAAGAUGUUCUUAUUUUACGAAUCUAUCAUCUCUUUAAGUAGAUUCUCAAGUCACUCGAACUCUUUAAAAACUUUAAAAAUUUAAGAGACAAAAUUUCAAUUUGACUCAUAAAGAUAAUGUCACCCUUUGAGGGACUUGUCAACUUUAAACAAUAACAUUUCAAAACUUUUCAAAAAAGAGUUAACUUCCUUUCAAUAGGUUAAUUAUAGAAACUUCGUUUUAAAAGGGUUUUUCAAUGUUUACCAUUGCUACUACAUCUCUUGCUGCAAUGGCGACUAUAUCAGCACAAGAGACCGCCUUCGGACACGCCGAUUCAAGCUUAGUUUUCGCGUCAUCAAUCACAUAGAAUGCUCGAAGAGAGAUAUUAGGAGGACCAUCUUUCUCCGCUUGAUUUUGCGGAGUCGAGUCCAACAACACCGAUGCAUCGCAUCCCUGUCACCACCCCAAGAAAAAUCAUUUCAACCUAAAAAUGGCUACACAUUUUGACACUAAAAAGACGUAAACAACAACAUACGUACCCUUAUGAAACAGUCAUGAAAGAACAUCCUAAGAAUCCGAGCGGGAGCUUUAGCAUCAUGCAUGGAGGCAUUCAAUACAGUGUAUCUUAUAAUUUUCUCAGCUUCAGGACAUGUUCGAUCAUAAUAAUGAACAUCCAAUGCCGCCUGUGAGCGUAGAACCGUCAUCAGCCCAAGGAAAAUAAUCGAAAAAGAGAACUUUCUCGGUGAAAAAACAGCCAUUUUGGUUUAUCAAAAUUUAAAAGUAAAUAAGGAAUAUAAGAACAGAAAAAUGUGAAAACGAUGAGGGUAUGAAAAGAUUCAUGGGAGUAUAUAUAUAGUAGCCAUGGCAACGUAAAUGUUGAGCAUAUAAUAUACAUAUUCGCUAUGCUUUUAAGUCACUCAAAUUGUGAACAAAAUUGUGGAAAAUGGAUGCGGUAUUGGUAGUGGUGUACUUUUAGACCAAGUUUAUAUAUUUCACCAACUCUUUAAGUAUUCUUUUUAUUUCACAUAUUAAGUUUACAUGUGUUUUUAUAUGAUUUUUAAAUUUAAAUAAUUGUUUCGAGUUUCAUGUGGUAUUAUUAUUAUAAGCUCUGCGAUUGUUGGGUUAUAUCUAUCAGGUUGGUUAAUGAAAUGGAUUAAAGCAGUACAUAAGUUUUGUACUUUUUGGGUUUUUUGUUAAAAUAUGGUUUUAGUCCUUAUACUUUCAUAGAUUUUGAGAUUUAGUCCCUAUCUUUUUUUAAUUUUUUCAAUUUAAAAAUUUCAAUCCAAUCAUUAUUACCAUGUUUUUGUUAAAAUUUAUCAACUUAACAUAUAUAUUUUUCAUCAAUCAAAUGCCUCGUUACAUAAGAGAAGUGCCUAAUCAACAUGUCAAAUUGAUAUUUUUUUUAUGACAAAACUUAAUAAUUUAAUGAUUUAAUUGAGAUUUUUAAAUUAAAAAAGUAAAAGGACUUAAUUUUUUAAAAUCUAAGUAUAUAGACUAAAUCUUAAAUUUUGUUUAAGUAUAAGGACUAACAACGUAUUUUAACUUUGGGAUGGGAGUUUGUUGUACUGUUUGGCUUCUACGAAAGCAAUGAAAUGGGAAAAAGGAAUCCAGAAAGCCGUAAAAAAAAUUGGGAAAUUGAUUGCUUUUGCCCUUAAUGCAAGCCAAGUUAAGUAUCAUGUCAUUGUUCUCCAAAAUUCCAAAGAAAAAUAUGGAGGACUUGUUGUGAAAAAGUACUUAUAAAAUGGCCCAUUAAGGCUUUUGGGCUCCAAACUUAAACCCUAGUUUAGAUGUGGGCUUUUAGCAAGUUGAAGAUAAAUUUAAGGUAGGGUAAGGAACAAAAGCAUUUUUUAUUGGCAAUAGGUCUUGUAGAAAAGUACAAAAUCUUCACACUACCCUUUACAUGUAACUCAAUUAGGUUUGUGGGUUGGAACUCGCUUAAAUUUUAAUUAGUUGAAUUAUAAAAAGAUUAUGAACAGUUUAGGAUCACAAACAUUAUAUUAAAUAUUUUUUAUAUGUUAAUUAUUUUUAUUAUUCAAAGAAAUCUGUGAAAUAGAAACUAUAAUAAUUAUGAUUAUUUUUAGAUUUGUAUUCACAAACAUCAUUUACAAUAUUGAAAAUUGAAAGAAAAAAAGUUAUUAUAAGAUUUUAUAUAUUACUAGUAAUUAAAAUAUAAUAAUUUUCUUAAUUAAAAUUAAAUAAAAUACAUUUAAUUAAAUUUAAAAAAAAUUCAAGUUUAUCUAAAUUUUAAAAAUAAUUUUGUUCCGAGCCAUUGAAUUAGACAACUAUUCUAGAUUAACAAUUUUUUUUAAAUCAUCAUAUAUAAUCUAUAUACAUUAUCCUACAAUCGUCUUUAACUUCACUAUUAGUUUGCCCUUAUAGUCGAGGGUUUAAUUUUCACCUUGAGUACAAAAUAACUUUAAAACUCAUGGUCAGCGUCUACUCCUUUAAUAAAUUUACAGACUACGAAUAAUUAAUUACUGAACUUACUUCGGUAAAUACUUUUAAGAAAUGAAAUAAAAUUGCUAUUAGUCUGCCCCUAAACUCUAAAGUCCACUUAUUUGAUUUGCUUUUGGAAGAGAUCUAUUUUGGGCUGAUAAUCCAGUUAGCUUGGAAAGAACGAGCUCGACCAAUAAUUGGGUUAGCAAGUAUUUAUGGCCUACCCAUCUGUGCAUAUUAUAAACACAUCCCAAAUGAACGACUUGCUAAUAGGGUGCAAUGUAUUUCAAGAUGUUAUUAUCGUGAGAUUUUUUUAAACUAAUUAUUAAAAUAAAAGGGAGAAAGUAAGAUUUGUAUUAAGAAACACGAGUUUAACUUUUAAUUAACUCAAUUAGUUUCAACACUGAAAAAACUAAUUUUUAGAGAAAAAUAACGAAUUUAGUAAUUUAUUAACAAGUUUCAAAUCACUUGUACAAUUUUAUAGAUUUUGACGUGGCUUAAUCAAACGGCUACAACCUCCUCGUUUCUAUCUUUUACUCACAACCAUUGAUUUAAAAAAAGAUCUCACGGGAUAUUGCUAUAAUAAAAUCUCAUAUUAGAUGUUGCAUGUUGCUAGACAUGAUGAAAGUUUAAGAAAUUUAUCAUUCAAGUUUCACUCAAAUAUGUAAAUUCAUUUUAUUUAAAGUAGAUUGAUUUCUCCAGGAAAAGUCUGUGAGGUGUCGGUUUGCAUUGAGCCAAUAGAUCUUUAAAGAGGCUUGGUAUUGUCUCUAGUGGGUUCACAAUCACAGAAUUGGAACAUCUCUUCAGCUACUUAAACAAAUAAAUCAUACGUGUUCCACACAACCUACUAGCUCAAAUGGUAACAUGUUCACUAACCCGUUAAUCUAACAACACUAUACAGACUUGUCCGAAAUACAAAUUCGUUGUGAAUUGGAAACCAAAUUCUCCCUCUCUCACCCACCCUUCAAUUUCUUCCAGUCUCUUAUCUUUAACUCUAGCACACGCUGAGUGAGUCUCAGGGUAUAACACUGUAGAGUAUAUAGAGCAAUGAUCAUUUGAUUGAUUUUAUUAUAGCCUAUACACAAAUGGGUCCACUGCCCUCACUUUCAGUUUCAUCCUUUCUUUUUCCAACCUCCAAUAAUAUCCUCACACACUCCAUCUUUAGUCUAUACCACCAAAACCCUAAAUCAUACAAAACCAAACAUGGAGACAAGUGGAAGAGGGGGUAUGUCCCAUAGCCAGGCUGCUAUUAACCCCACACACACCACAAAAAAAAAAAAAAAAAACAUCCCAAUCUCUGUCUUCUCCCCUCCACCGCCCAUUCUCACAUUUGAUAUUUCAAAACAUGUACACACAUGCAUGAAAGAAACUGACACAGUCACCACCACCAAAUAAUACUACUACCCCCACCCAACAACAGAUAAGAAAGAGAGAGAAACCAAAAAAAAAAAAAAACCUUGUUUAAUUAUUAUUAUUAUAAAUUUUAUAACAUGAAGUACGAUGAUCGAUGCAUAAACUCAUAAUGUUUUGUCCAAAUAUUGCAGAUAAAAAUGUAUGGUUUAAUUAAUUAAAUUUAUAGUAUAUGGGUAAACCUGAUCUGAUGCAUAUGCUGCUGCUGCUGGCAUUGCCUCAUCAACGGUCUAAUCCCACUGAAUAAUUUUUAUUUUAUUUUGUUCAUACCCCCGCGAAAUAGGACCACUUUGAAUUUGAAAUAUAAAUCAGUAAACUAUGAUUCAAUAAUAAUAUUGAAAUUUAAGAUAGGGUUUCAAAAGAGUUAGUGAAAAUGUAGUCAGAACUCAGGAAUAUUGUGUAGUCGGAAUCUGCCAAGUUUUGCGUAAUAACUGAAUCUCCCAUGCAUUUUUUAUUUUUUUUAUUCUCAUCUGCCCCUACUCUACCCUACAUAUAUAUAUCUUCAUUUUUUUUUCUAACGUUCAACUACAUUGAUUUGUAAAUUAUUUAAAGGAAUCAUAAAUUUUAGUACAUUAAAAAUAAAGAUUCAAAAAGAAUUCAGCCGUUAAUACAGAUACAAGUCAUCUAUAUGUUGUGGAUACAAAAAGGGAUGAUUUUUUUUUUUGGCUAGAAUUGAAUUAUAAAUUUUUAAAAGGUUAAAAUAUAAUUUUUAAUUUUAUUAUUUUUAAAAGGAUUAAAUAGAUUUUUUUUUCUGUUUUUGAGGGGAGUGGUUUAUAAAAGGAUUAAAUUGCAUAAUCUGCUAUUUGGGGAAAGACGACAUAGGCCAUUAUAUGCGUUUAAUCUUAGGAAAAUAAAUUUGAAAAUAAUACAAUCGUUAUGGAUACAAAUCAUUUACAUUAUGAGCAUAAUGAUAAGUGACGUCUUGAUACAAUAAUAUUGAGAAAAUUAUAAAUAAUUCGUAUAACUAAGUGUUGGGUGUAAUAAUAAAAUGCAUUAAAUUUUUAAGUAUAAAAAUAAUAUUGUUGAGAGAAACAAUCAAAACCCUAAAAAUAUAAUUUUUAUUAACCGUAAAAUGAAUAUAAAUAGUGUAUUAAUUAUACUAAAUAUAACCUCAAUCAUCAUCAUAAACAACCCUAACGAAUUAUUGAAAACAACGUUCAUCUCACUAAAAUACAUGUAUUAGUUGUGAUUAAAAAAAGAAAAGACUUGUAUUAAUGUUACCAUUUGACUUUCUUUCUUUUAUAUAUACAGCUACAAUUAAUUUGAUUUGCAUUUUGAAUUUCCCGCUCACUGUUUAACACUUAAUACAUUUAUUACAUCCCUUUUAGAGUAUUUAUAUAUUUAUUUAAGUAUUCAUAUUUAAGUUUUACAAUAUAUAAACUUCUACUACGUUAUAUGUGAGUUUUAUUUGAUUCUUCAUUUAUUAUAUUUUAUUUUGAUUUCUGUAUUAUAAUUAUUCGAAAAUAUAUUUGUAAUACUCGUAAAUUUUUUACAAUUUAAAAUAUUGUAAAAGGUAUUUUAAAACAUCUCGUGGUAGCAUUGCUUGAUGAUUGAAGAAUCUAUCAACGAAUAUGAGCUUAGGGUUUGAACUUUGAAGUUCAUAUUUUUUUUUUGUGUGUGUUACUAUUGUAAUUCAAAUUCACAAAAAUCUAAUUUAUACUAUAUAAAAUAUACAAGGAGUAAGGCUUCUCUGUCCUAUUAAAUUCAUUUCAGUGGUGGAGCCAAGGGGUAGGCAUGAGUCUCGGUUCCUUUAAAAUAGAAAAAUUUUCACUUAUACCCAUUAUAAUUUAUAAAAUUUUAAAUUAGUAAUAAUAAAAUUACACUUUAAUUCCAAAAAUAAUAAAAAUAUUAAUUUAAUCUUUUAAAAAUUAUAAAGAUAUAAUAUAUUAAAUUUGUAAAAUUAUAUUUUUACUAUUAUAAAAAUAUACAAUUUAAUUUUAAUUCUCUUAAAAUAUAUAUAUAUUUUUUUGGUUCCACCACUGAUUCAUUCCUUUCAAUUGACGUGACACCUCUAAUCAAUUAGGGGUAUGUUUCACUUCUCAUACCAUAACUCGUUUUAGUUUAUUUUCGAAAUUUGUCUUGGCAUAUUAAUUUAUUCUCUUGUAUUGUAUUUUUCAUAUUUAUUGUAUUUAUUAAAUUAUUUUUGUUUUAUAGUUCAGAUGAUGGGAGAGACCCGACCACACCAUUGCUGUUCUUGUUCCCUUUUCUGACCACUUUAUAAUUGUAUAUAACAAAAGUUGAAUUAUACUAUAGUGAUAAAAA
rnacentral:lncRNA from 1 species